UGUUAGUUUCGAUAACGUACAAUCUACGUAUUUAUCGGUUAGCAGGUACACCUGUUAUCGCUAGGAGAUGGAAACAGGCCCCUACGCUAUUGAAGAGAAAUAUGUAUACUUCCUUUUCCUCGUGAUUUAUAAAAGCUACCAGACGUGUCUACCAGCAUUCAAUUUUUCUAACUCCAAAUCCGAGUUACAUUAUCUGAAAUUAUCGUUACCAUCUUGAAAAAGUAUAAAUUUUUCCUGAAUUAAAUUUGAUUUUGAUUGCUAUCAGAAAGCUAUUGCUGGAGAUUUUAUUUGGGUUUCUAUACAAUAUCCUUGGCUAAUCCUAGCAUCUGUAAACCAUUAAACAAUCUCCGGCUAAUAUAGCUUAUCGCUAUUUACAAAAAUGAAAAGGCUCCAAAUUGUCGACAAUAUCUGAAACCUAGGAGAAGGUUCACGUUAAUCCUUGGGACCAACUAAAUACUCGGCGAUCCCAAAACACAUUUUUCCCGUCAUUUCGCCCAAGAGUCUAAACUCACAAUAUUUCCCCAGUCAACUUGGAGUGCAAAGAAAAAAAAAAAAACACACGGUCCGAAUCCCUAAUUUUAAGAGCACGAAAGCUCCCAGAGAAAAAAACUGCCUCACUAAUUCGAUGCCCGAUCUAUCACUCCGUAGUCUCCUCCAUUUCCCGAGGAUUUUCAGUUGUCUCGGACAUAUGCAAGAAUGCGCAUCGAAACAUAAGUGACGUGUAGUGCUAAAGAACGGGAGAAUAUCGAAAAAAAAAAAACAUACACCCAGAAUUACUAAGAGCAUUAGAAUAUUAAAUAUGAAAGAAAAUUAUGCCCCCACAACAAAGGAUUGAACUUGCUGAGGCCUCAACAACAUCAAUUUCUUUGGGUGAGUACAGUUUCAUAAUAUUAUCUGCUAAACUAGAAGACAAGAACUUUAUUGGAGGACAGAAAGAAAUAUUACGUAAAAAAAAAAAAAAAAAAAAAACAACAACACUGUUUUAAACAAAAUUACAACAACAAACAUAGUUAUCAUUGAUUACGGUCAAUUUAGAGAAAAAGUCACCAAUCAAGUUCUUCUCUUAUUUCUUUUUAUGCAUAUUUGCGAGUUACCUUUUGUUCUGCCUAUUGCUAUUGCCACCUAUGCAUUAUUAUUAUGGUUUGUUUUGAUCUCCUAAUUUGAUCUCCGUUCGGAUGACCUAGUUUUUUUUUCUUGCUCUCUUUCAAUACUUAAGAAUAACCAAAUAUGAGACAAAACAAAAUAUGUUACCAUUCACAAUAAUCUUUUGUUUUCUUAUUAUAUUUUA